rnacentral:tRNA from 1 species
AUUUAAAUAGUUUAAUGAGAAUAAUAAUUUGUGGAGUUAUGGGUGCAUUUUGCUUUAAAUC